rnacentral:rRNA from 1 species
UACGUAGGGGGGCAAGCGUUGUCCGGAAUUAUUGGGCGUAAAGAGCUCGUAGGCGGCUUGUCACGUCGGGGUGUGAAAGCCCGGGGGCUUAACCCCCGGGUCUGCAUUCGAUACGGGCUAGCUAGAGUGUGGUAGGGGAGAUCGGAAUUCCUGGUGUAGCGGUGAAAUGCGCAGAUAUCAGGAGGAACACCGGUGGCGAAGGCGGAUCUCUGGGCCAUUACUGACGCUGAGGAGCGAAAGCGUGGGGGAGCGAACAGG